GAUCAUAUCGGAUGUAUGGUUGAGUCACGGUUGUUGUCUGGGUGACAGCGGCCGUUUGAGUGUAAUCUGUCAUGUUGCACUGGAGGUUUGAUCGUUAUUGUAACGCAGUACUUAGGACGAUUGUAAGGCUAAAAGUGAGAGAGAAUUAAAAUGUGGGAGUCAGUUUCAAAAACAUCUACAGCCGAGCAAGCAGCCACUGUCAAAGCGUUGAGAUUUUUUUUUCUGAUGCUGAUAAAAUAUUCGAAACAGAGCUUAAAAUAAACGUGUGAAAAAAUAAUCAAUAAACUACGCAUACAUUACUACAACAGUUUUCGUCCGAUUGGGAACGUCCUCGAUAAAGAUGUUGACAUCACUGCUAUGCAGAAUACGACUCGAGCUUCAUGUCAACGUGAUUGAAACAACCCCCGCAUACAUGAGCACAAUAAUAAGUAUGACUCAAAAUCUUCUCAAAUGUUUGAUCUGUUGCAUGUAAGGCAGGCGAAAAAAAGAGUUGUGAUUCUAUUAUCGUCACAUUCCACCCGCUAUGCUUUAACCCAUCUGAACCUUAUGAGCAAACAUAAAUUUUUGUGAAAAGAAAAACAAGCAUCUCAUUGUGGGGAGUGGUAUUAUGAUUAAUUGUACACGGAUGUAAUUUGCAUAACACUUACCAGACUAGAUGUAAAUGGCUUGAUUACCCCCGGAAACCAGAACACUUGUUGCAGGUACACGACAGUAGACAAACUUUCGAUUUUAUCCAAUUCAUACGAUGCGUGUUGUCUCCAGCAUAAAAUUCGGUUCCAGCCUAUGUGUAGUACUAUAGUAUAGUGGCAAUGUUGAUUGGUGUCUACAUCUACUAAAACUAUCGACCGAACGACACGCGUACGCGAGACAAACACUCAGUCGGCGGAAAGCCAGUGGUCAAGUCGAGCAAAAUGUAACACUCUACCCUAGGCUCACACCAAAACCAGCAAACACCCGAUGGUUGGAUUCGGGUGUUUACAUCUUUGGGAGGCGUAUUCGCGAACGGCACGCCCAGUUGGAAUUCAGCUUUCGGGGAAGUUAGUUUCUUAUAGGACUAUACUGGAUUGGAAAACUAAAUGGUAGUUAAUGGAUAACUGUGAUAAGAGCAGAAUGGAUUUCAGUCAAAACCCCCAUAAGAUAAAAUGAUAGGAAAGUCUUGCAUUAGGAGUUGAGCGCCAAGUGUUUGAGCAAUCAUAUCAUCAUCGUUCAUGGUUUGUAUAACCACCGUAUAGAAAUACAUAAUACACGGCGUGGACGAAUAUGCGAAAGUAGAUGUCUGGAAAUAAUAAUAUGAGUACCUCUCAAUGGCUAUGUGUUUGUGAUAAGAAAAGUCGAUGAAACUGCUGUCAAAGCUUUGUAAACAAAUCGUUGAAACCGAGUAUACGUACUUUCUCAGUGAGAGCAGCAAACUUUAAUGCAAUGUUGUUAGAAGAUAUGAAUUUUGCUUUCAGUCGUUGUUAUUCGAGCGAUGACUUCAAAGGACUUUCGUACGAAAAGAUUGAAUUAUAGUUCAAAAUUCAUUUAAAAUUAUAAGAAUGGGCAAAACAUAUUUUGUAAGAUUAAUAAAGCUAAGAUACUGCUUCAUGAAUAGACUGGUUUAGAGUUACCUCUAUUUGACCUAUCAAUUUAUUUGAUUUGUGUCUUCAUCGCAACAGAAAUAAUUUCUGUUCAGUUCAGUUUGACGUUGGACUACGCCUAACUGUACAUUAAAACUUUUCCACAUGUCAUAAAACGGUUUACGUAAGCGCCUAGACUGUAAUUCUUGAUCCAGCACUUAAAAAAAGUUCAUUUGCAUAAUGAGCCUUGACUAAUUUGAUCAUGAUUUAUAUUCAUGAUGACGCUGAUGCUGUUGCAUCAUGAUUUGAUGUUGGAAUUACAUUAAAACUGAUGUCUUGAAAGAAAACUUUUUUUUGUUCGGUUGGUAUUCAACAUCAAUUUAGUUUGACUCAACAGCAAGCCCAUGUUCAGGUAGUUGGAAGUUAAAAAUUACGAAAAUUAGAUUUAAGAGUAAAAUACUAAGCAAGCAGUAAUA